CCUUGGGAUAUCAGCGAGCGCCGUUGACUCUGCCAGAACUAAAUCCAGCAACACCUGAUUUAAAUUGUCCACUUGAAACUUUUGCAUCAAAAAAGCAAAAAACCUAUCAACCUAAUAUUCCUCAAAGUUGCAUUGAGAGAACAUCUGUCUCAUCAAAGCCCCUCAGCUAAGUGUUAUUCUAGAGGAGCACCUAACUCUUUCUGAAGGUCAAAGGAGCCCUGGUGGGCAGUGGAAGUCUUCAAGCAAAGAGUUGCAGUUGCUGACAGUUGGAAG